rnacentral:rRNA from 1 species
UGCAUGAAGUCGGAAUUGCUAGUAAUCGCGGAUCAGCAUGCCGCGGUGAAUACGUUCCCGGGCCUUGUACACACCGCCCGUCACACCAUGGGAGCCGGUAAUACCCGAAGUCAGUAGUCCAACCUCGUGAGGACNCUGCCGAAGGUAGGAUUGGCGACUGGGGUGAAGUCGUAACAAGGUAUC